GGGAAGGUGGCUCAGUGGUAGAGUGCUUGCCUUGCAUGCAUGAAGCCUUGGGUUUGAUUCCUCCACACCA
rnacentral:tRNA from 1 species